AAAGUGCUUGCACUUGGUGCUUCACAUGAUAGUGUAUAAAGACAGAACCCUCCAUCAAUCACAAUAAUUUCAUUAGUCCUGGGUAUAUAUUAUGCAUUAUAACUUUUUGAGUAGAAAUAUAAUAUGUUUCUAUGUUUCUAUGUUGUGGCCAUUUUGUCACAGAGGUGUUCAUUCAGUUCUGUGUACCCUUUUUGAGGCAAAUUUUUUUUCGAAUUUGUCUAAAUCCUUCAUCGUUUUAUUCUAUCGCUUUUGGUGAGCUUUGAGUUAUGAGCAAAGUCCAUCUUUUUCCAAGUUAGUUUGUCAAUGUCAGAUUAGUUCACUCAUGUUGCCCAAAAAGCAUCUUAAUAAGCUCUUAUUAUAAUAAACACAUGCUGAUUCAAUGUUGCAUCUGCAUUUGUGAUUUAAUUUCUUCAAAUGUAAUCUUAUUUUUCAUGUGGAUAUCUGUUAGGUUGUCCACUUUGGCACGUAACGGUCACUGUUUUCCACACCCAUUUCUUUAUUUAGCAUGAGACAAGUGGGGGUAAUCACUUUUAGUGCACACUACGUCUAAAUUUUAAAAUGCCAUCUUGUCC